CCUACGGGAGGCAGCAGUGGGGAAUAUUGGACAAUGGGCGAAAGCCUGAUCCAGCCAUGCCGCGUGUGUGAAGAAGGCCUUCGGGUUGUAAAGCACUUUCAGUGGGGAAGAAAGCCUUGGGGCUAAUACCCUCGAGGAAGGACAUCACCCACAGAAGAAGCACCGGCUAACUCCGUGCCAGCAGCCGCGGUAAUACGGAGGGUGCGAGCGUUAAUCGGAAUUACUGGGCGUAAAGCGCGCGUAGGCGGUCUGAUAAGCCGGUUGUGAAAGCCCCGGGCUCAACCUGGGAACGGCAUCCGGAACUGUCAGGCUAGAGUGCAGGAGAGGAAGGUAGAAUUCCCGGUGUAGCGGUGAAAUGCGUAGAGAUCGGGAGGAAUACCAGUGGCGAAGGCGGCCUUCUGGACUGACACUGACGCUGAGGUGCGAAAGCGUGGGUAGCAAACAGGAUUAGAUACCCGAGUAUC
rnacentral:rRNA from 1 species